AAGAGGAGAGCCCAGACUGCGGGCCACCAAAACAAAACAGGCUGGCUGGUGCGCCAGCGGUCCCCCCGCCCCCACCGAGGGAAAGAAAUGGAACCACAUCCCAAAGCCAAACCGGCAUAGACUGGGCAGUCACUGCAAAUAACACCUCAUUGGAUGCAAGACCC